AGGAGGAGCUUGGUGCUCCAGUGGGACUCCAGGACAGGGUCACUGAGGCUGGAGUGACGAGCUGGGAUCAGAGCAGCACCACACAUUUGGUGUAUUCACUGCACAAAGACAAACCUCUCAGGGAGAGAUGGAGAGCAGGUGAAAGUCACUGCAAGAACAAAGCCACGCAGUUGAGCAGGAGAUCUGGUUUGCACAAUCGUACCUAUGGAGAAGCACUCAGAGGUUGGGAGAUGGUUAUCACCAACCACGUGUCAACAUCUUCAAAACUCAUCUUGAUGGCUUCAUUCUUCUUUUGUGACCUACAGCCUCAACGAGAGUUUUUACAGAAACGGAACACCACGGAACAGCAAAUUUGGGAACCUUGUCACUUGACAAAAAAAACGCUUGGCUCAGAAUGUUAUUUUUCUUAAAUGUAUCUUUCAGCCGCUGUCAUUAAAACUGUUAAAUAGCUUUAGGAACCUGUUUUGUCAAUUACCUUGGGGACAGGAAUGAAAUACUGGGCUGUUAAGCGUGUGCCACAAAAAAUAAACUGCGCCGCGAGAGCCGCGGGAGGAGC
rnacentral:lncRNA from 1 species